rnacentral:rRNA from 1 species
UACGUAGGGUGCAAGCGUUAAUCGGAAUCACUGGGCGUAAAGCGCGUGUAGGCGGCCCACUAAGUCUGAUGUGAAAGCCCGGGGCUCACCCCCGGAAGUGCAUUGGAAACUGGUGGACUCGAGUCCCGGAGAGGAGGGUGGAAUUCCUGGUGUAGCGGUGAAAUGCGUAGAUAUCAGGAGGAACACCGGUGGCGAAGGCGGCCCUCUGGACGGUGACUGACGCUGAGACGCGAAAGCGUGGGGAGCAAACAGG